GUAGGGGUUUAGCUCAGUGGUUACUUCGACUCCUCAGAGACGCUUAGCUCGACCGGUCUCCGGGCCGAGGGUUCAAACCACGGGCGCUGUCCUUUGCUUUU
rnacentral:vault_RNA from 1 species